rnacentral:rRNA from 1 species
CCCGCUGAACUUAAGCAUAUCAAUAAGCGGAGGAAAAGAAACUAACAAGGAUUCCCCUAGUAACUGCGAGUGAAGCGGGAAGAGCUCAAAUUUGAAAUCUGGCAGUUGUUGACUGUCCGAGUUGUAAUCUAGAGAAGUGUUACCAGUGCAGGACCGUGUACAAGUCUCCUGGAAUGGGGCAUCAUAGAGGGUGAGAAUCCCGUCUUUGGCACGGACUACCUGUACAUCAUGGUGCGCUCUCAAAGAGUCGAGUUGUUUGGGAAUGCAGCUCAAAAUGGGUGGUAAAUGCCAUCUAAAGCUAAAUAUUGGCGAGAGACCGAUAGCGAACAAGUACCGUGAGGGAAAGAUGAAAAGAACUUUGGAAAGAGAGUUAAACAGUACGUGAAAUUGCCGAAAGGGAAACGCUUGAAGUCAGUCACGUUGGCUAGAAAUCAGCCUUGCUCUUGCUUGGUGUACUUUCUGGUUGAUGGGUCAGCAUCAAUUUUGACCAUUGGAUAAAGGUCAUUGGGAAUACUCCCUGUGUCGUAAUACAGUGGUUGGGAUUGAGGAAUUCAGCACGCCGCAAGGCAGGGUUUCGACCACAUUCGUGCUUAGGAUGCUGGCAUAAUGGCUUUAAUCGACCCGUCUUGAAACACGG